rnacentral:tRNA from 1 species
CAAAAAUUAUUCUAGGAACCUUGUACUGUAAAUAUAGUUUAAAAAAAACAUUAGAUUGUGAAUCUAAUA